rnacentral:lncRNA from 1 species
GCCCUGCAAUGACAUAUUUCAGUACUAUUUUGCAUAAGAACUUUAGGAACUAUUGAUGGUACAUAAGUGUAUCAAGAAAAGCACUGCAACAACAUCAAUUCCAACGUGAGAUGUGUACUAAUAUGAGAAUUGUGGGCCGUGAUGUCAUUAUAAUUUAUAAGAAAGCAAUAUUUGCAAUUUGAAUGUUCCAAUAGAUAUCUCUAAGCAAUUCUCAAAAUGAGAAACAAAUUAUCAGCUCCCAUUCAAUCCUUACAGAGUGAUAUACAUUUUAUUUUCAUUAAAGAAUGUCGAUAUGGUGCCAUUGGGCUUCUAUACAGAAUACACAAUGAUGGUUUACAUAAUCCUCUUCUUCUAAAAAGACCUUGACGGUUUGAAUUCACAGUACCCAUAGUUCCGCUAGGCGGUGACUAGGCGCAAUUAAUCGCUGGGCGAGGCCCAUCGCCUCAACUAGGGGUAUAGGCGGAGGCCUAGGCAGGCGCUGUUGGCACCUGCACACAGGCACCAGGUAAGCAGACCCUGCUCACCUUCCCUCUUCCUCUCCCCUGAUCCAAGGUAGAAGAUGAGCCGAGCUCAGGCACACACACACACACACGGUUUCAGUCUUGGCUGAAACCUGAACCCAGGAAAUAUGUGGCACUUGAACUGCCUUUGCUUCAUUGCAUACAUGGUGUAUAUAUACAAGCCUUGUACCAACUAUAAGGUACACAAGGCAUGGCUGGGUACAGCCCCAACUACUCCUAGUACACUGCAUACAUCAUCCUCCUACCAAGUAUGGCUGAUGUAUGGUUCUACCAACUACUGUACUAGAGUGGCCUAUUGCCAUACUCCUAUGUGACCAAGAGCUAGCCUAUUGCCUGCCUAUGAUCAUUAACAGAACAAGAAAGGUUUAGCUGCAGAUUAUGUCUUACAGUUCUUCCCCUAAUCCUGCUGCUAAGCCUUGACCUCAUCCAUGCCAAUCAUCUUCCUCAGCUCAACAAACCUGAGGCGUCCGAGGGACUUGGUGAGAAUGUCAGCGAGUUGCCUGCCGGUGUCGACAAACUCGAUGGUGAUCUGUCCUCCAUCAACGCAAUCCCUGAGGAAAUGGAACUUGACGUCGAUGUGUUUGCUCCGGUCAUGGAGCACCGGGUUCUUGGCAAGAGCAAUGGCCGGCUGAUUGUCCACCAGCAAAGCCGGCGGCUGAGACUCCUUCCCAGUGAGCUCCUUCAGCAGCCGCCGCAACCAGACCGCCUGACAUGCCGCCGUAGCAGCAGCCACAUACUCUGCCUCGCAGGUUGACAGUGCCACUGUCUUCUGCUUCAGUGAUUGCCAGGCCACCGGCGCUGCUCCGAGGAAAACGAACACCCCGGAGGUGCUUUUCCGCCCAUCCACAUCACCCGCCAUGUCUGCAUCACUGAACACGGUGAGCCCUGGCUCGCCGUCCUUUGCCCUGGGCGGCGCUUCGCUGAACACCUUCAGCCGAAGAUCGCCGUGCUUGGGGAAGACGACACCGAGGUCCAAAGACCCCUGGAUGUACCGCAGCAGUCGCUUGACCGCCGCCCAGUGGUCCUCCCUUGGAUCCUCCAUGAAUCUGCUCACAUACCCGACCGCGAACGCGAUGUCCGGCCGGGUGUGAGUGAGCCAGCGCAGCCCACCGACGAUGCUUCGGUAUCGUGUGGCAUCAACCUUUUUCGCCACACUUUGUUUGGAGAGCUUGAUCCGCUCCUCCAUCGGUGUUGCUGCAGCCCUGCAGUCGCCCAUUCCAGCCCGCUCCAGCAGCUUCAGCGCGUAGGCGCGCUGCCCCAGCCUGACCGCGUCCUUCCCCUGCUUCACCUCGAUGCCGAGGUAGUACGAGAGCGCGCCUAGAUCGCUCAUCUUGAAUCGGGCCGCCAUCUCCGCCUUGAAUUUGGCGAUGUCUUCCUCCCGCGCGCCAGUGACGAUCAGAUCGUCCACAUACACACCGACGAUGAGCUCCUCCUUCCCCCGUCGUCGUGUGUACAGGGCGUGCUCCGUGGCGCACCGUGUGAAGCCAAGUUCCGCCAUGGUGGCGUCGAGUUUGGCAUUCCAUGCCCGCGGGGCCUGCCGCAGGCCAUACAGCGCCUUCCGCAGCCAAAGCACCUUGCGCUCUUCCCCUUUCACCUGAAAGCCUGGCGCCUGCUUGACGUAAACUUCUUCCGCCAGCUCGCCGUUCAGGAAGGCCGACUUGACGUCGAGGUGGUGGACUCCCCAAUCCUUGGCCGCUGCGAGUGCCAGCAGCAAUCUCACCGACUCCAUGCGCGCCACCGGCGCAAACACCUCCUCGAAGUCGAUGCCUUCGCGCUGCACAAAGCCACGGGCCACCACCCGCGCCUUGUGCUUGACGAUCGCGCCGUACUCGUCCUUCUUGACCUUGUACACCCACUUGAGGCCAAUCGGCCGGCAUCCCGCCGGCGGAUCAACCAGCUCCCAGGUGUGGUUGUCUUCGAUGGACCGCAGCUCCUCCAGCAUGGCACGCCGCCAAUUUGGGUCGCGUUCCGCCACGGCAAAGGAUGUGGGCUCUUCUGCGCUCAUCAGCAGAAGUUCAGGGUCGUCGUCGAGCAGCCGUGCUGCGACCCCAGGCACCUCUGCUUCCCCGAUGAUGCCCUCGAUUCGGCGAAAACGGACCUCCUCGCCGUCGUGGUAAGCAUCCACGAACUCGGUGUAGUCACUUGGUGGUGUGGCGAAUUCGACGUCUCCGGCCACUGGCGUUGCCAGCCCCGGCGAGGCUGGGGAUCCCACCCCAGCCGCCGGGGAGUGGACUGGCGUUCCAGCUGUCGCUGGACCUGGUGGCUCCUCCACCUCUGGAGCUGCAGUGGCACCGGCUUCCCCGGUUGCUGGCCCUCCUGACCCUUCUUCCCUGCCGUGGAUCGUCAUGUGUUCCACGACAAAAGUGUCGCCAAGCCCACCACCUCCUUGCUCCUCCGCCUGGUCCCAUUUCCACGCCGCCGCCUCGUCGAACACCACAUCUCGUGAUACCAGUACCUUUCCGCCGACCGGAUCGUAGAGCCGAUAGGCCUUUGAUCCCUCCUCGUAGCCGAGGAACACCGCCUUGGUGCUCCUGUCUUCCAGCUUUGUGAGGCCCGGCUUGGUGGUCUUCACAUGGCCGACACAACCAAACGUGCGUAGGAACGCGACGUUCGGCUUGCGUCCGUGCCAAGCCUCGAAUGGAGUCUGCCCCUUCAACGCCUUGGUGGGGCAACGGUUCAGGAUGAACACUGCUGUGCUCACGGCUUCUCCCCAGAACUCAGCCGGCAUGUCCUUCGCCUUCAGCAUAGACCGCGCCAUGCCGAUGAUGGUCUGGUUCCGGCGCUCUACCACACCGUUCUGCUGCGGUGAGUAGGGGGCUGUGAGAUGACGCCCUACUCCUUCCUCGGCGCAGUACGUGGUGAAUUCAGCCGCCGUGAACUCACCGCCGCGGUCAGUCCGAAGCACCUUCAGCUUCUUCCCGGACUCCAUCUCCGUGCGCGCCUUGAAGUGCUUGAUUGCCUCCGCCGCGUCGCUCUUGCUCGUCAGGAGCUGCAGCCACAUGUACCGGCUGCAGUCAUCCACGAGCAAGAGGAAGUACCUCCUCCCGCCGUGCGUCGCCGGCGUGAUCGGCCCGCAAAGGUCCCCAUGGACCAGCUCAAGCGGAUCCGCCGCGCGGUACCUGGCAGUCUUCGGGAACGGCAGCCUCCUCUGCUUCCCUGCCAGGCAACUGUCACACAGCUCGCUGACAUGCUGGAUCGCCGGCAGCCCUGUCACCAUCUUCCCAAGACGGCCCAGCGCGUCGAAACUGAGGUGGCCGAACCGGCCAUGCCACAGCCAGGGCUCCUCCUUGCAUGACGCCGCCAAACAUACGGGCUGCUCUACCUUCAAGUCCAGAAGAUAGAGUCGGUUACGAGAGCGCGAUACCUUGGCGAGAAGACGCCGCUCCCUGUCCCUGAUCCGCAACACCCCGUCGCGAAUCAGGACCUCGCUGCCGCGUUCGUCCAACUGUCCCAGGCUGACGAUGCUGGUGCGCAGCUGGGGAAUGAAGUAGACAUCCGUCAAGGCACGGUGCUCGCCGUUCCUGCACCGGAAGAGGACGGUGCCGCGGCCGCGAAUCUGCACCUUCGAGCCAUCCCCGAACUUCACGCUUCCGGUGGCUGACUCGUCGAGGUUGGAGAAGGCGGUGCGGCUCCCUAUCAUGUGGUUGCUCGCACCUGAGUCGAGGUACCACCUCUGCUCCAGCUCUUCACCGUCCGCUCCAAGGAGGACGCGCGCGCGAGACUCGUCAAGUUCGACGGCCUGCGGCGCAGUCCCCUGCUCCGCCUCCGCCUCCCCUGCUACGCCUUCCUGCAGCGCGCAAUACUCCCCCAUCAACAGAGCGCACUCGUCGUCGCUGUCGUCCCGAGCUAGGUGGACCUCUCCCUUCUUCUCCGGCUUCUUCUCCGGGCAUUCUCGUGCCCAGUGCCCCACUUUCCCGCAGCGCCGGCAGGCGUUGGGGUCGGUGUUCUUCUUCUUCUUCUUCUUGUCCGCCGGCGGCUUCCCGCGCCCCUUGGCGCCAUCACCUCCGCGGCUGGAGGAGCCUUCCCCGGUCCGGCGCUUGUCCUUCAUGCGCGCGGUCCACUCCUCUUCCGUCAGGAGUAGCUUGGCCUUCUCCUUCUCCGGUGCCGGCGUGAUGCGGCUCUCUGCAACUUGCAGCCGCCCAGCCACGUCCUCCAGAGACAAUGUGGAGAUGUCCAACAUCGUCUCAAUGGACAUGGCAAGCUGCGAAUACUUGGCCGGGACGGUGCACAGCAGCUUGGUGACGAGGUCCUCGUCGUCCACCUUCUUCCCGUAGGUGGCCAGUUGCGUGGCCAGGGAUUGAAGACGGAGGGUGUACUCCUCCACCGACUCACCGGGCUUGAACUUGAUGUCGUUGAGCUCCCUGCGGAGCUGCUGGAUCCUGGCCCGCUUGGCUCGGUCCGAGCCGACACGCAGCGACUCCAGCAUCUCCCAGGCCUGCUUCGCGGUGUCCUUGGCGCCCAGCGCCUCGUGGUACUCCGCCGGCGUCGAGGCCAUGAGCGCCUCCAUGACUCCCACCUGGGCGUCCUCGGUGCGAUCAUCUUCCUCAAUCGCCCGCCACCACUUCCGCGCGCGCAGCUUCCACUUCAUCUGCGUCGCCCACUCACCGUAGUUGGUGCGGGUGAGCAUGGGCCAGGAGCUGCUGCCGCCGAACUCCUUCACCACGCGCACCUCCACCUGCGGUGGCGCCGGCUGGAGCUGACGCUCCGCGCCCUCCCCUCCACCGUUCCGAGCCGCACCGUCCGCCAUCGCCGGUCGAUGGACCUAGCACACGGCUUGUACGGCUCCGAUACCAAUUGUUGGCACCUGCACACAGGCACCAGGUAAGCAGACCCUGCUCACCUUCCCUCUUCCUCUCCCCUGAUCCAAGGUAGAAGAUGAGCCGAGCUCAGGCACACACACACACACACACACGGUUUCAGUCUUGGCUGAAACCUGAACCCAGGAAAUAUGUGGCACUUGAACUGCCUUUGCUUCAUUGCAUACAUGGUGUAUAUAUACAAGCCUUGUACCAACUAUAAGGUACACAAGGCAUGGCUGGGUACAGCCCCAACUACUCCUAGUACACUGCAUACAUCAUCCUCCUACCAAGUAUGGCUGAUGUAUGGUUCUACCAACUACUGUACUAGAGUGGCCUAUUGCCAUACUCCUAUGUGACCAAGAGCUAGCCUAUUGCCUGCCUAUGAUCAUUAACAGAACAAGAAAGGUUUAGCUGCAGAUUAUGUCUUACAGGCGCAGCGCCCCCCGCUCGUCCUCCUCCGCCUGCGACAGCGCGCCGGAGGGCACUACCCGCCGGCCUAGCUCCUCUGCCUCCUCCCCGCCUGGUCCGAUGAGGUCGCGCUGCUCGUCCCCGCCGAUCGCCCUGCUCCCCCGCCUGGAGGCUCGUCCCCGCCGGCCGCAUUUCUCGCCGCCUGGAACUCCUUCCCGCCGGCCGCCGGUCACCUCUUCCCCGCCUGGAAGCUGCUCGCCUGCUCCCCGCCUGUAAGCUGCUCGCCUGCACCCCGCCUGGAAGGUCUUCACCGCCGGCCGACGGCCUCAACCCUAGGCGGCAGCACCAGGGUGAGUCCCCUCCCCUGCUCGUUGCUCCCUGCUCUCCUCCCCUGCUGCUCUCUGUUCUGAUUCCUUUGUUACUCUGAAACUGAAUGCCUCCCCUGCUCCUUUUGCUAUAUAUAUAUAGAACUAAUACCUUAUGGCUAGCUACAAAAUGACUUAUUCUGUAGCCAGAUCAAAACUGGCUCGUGUGUCACCAGCGCUCCAUGCGCGUCCAUUCAUCCACGGUAGGUCAGCCGUGUGGCUUUGGCUUUGUGGUCCCUUCUCACUAAUGCAUGCAUGCAUGUAUUGAUUGAUUCCCCUAGCGUGCUCCAUGCAAAUGGAGCCACACCCCGCAAAUUAUGUCUGUUUUACUAAAUCCUUCAGCCGUUGCUUGCUUUGGAUCGUAAAUCAAGGGAUUAAAUUAGACCGCAGAGGAUCCCGCUAAUCACGUCACUUCCUUCCCGAGGGUAGUCACGAACAAAAAUCACUCUGUCGCACGACGGCUCCUCCCACAAAAGUGCACGGCAUGACGGCUCCUCCCACUGGCGGCAGCGUCGAGUCCUCUCCAAUUCAAGCACAGGUGGCGGCGUCCUUCCCACCUCCGAUGGCGGCGGUGUCCCCAUGGGGGCAUGGGUCACUGGGUCUGUCCUCCACCACCGGCGCGGCGCGGGUCACCAACUGGUGAUGGCGGCCACCGCCUUCACGCGCUCGGCGAGCAGCGCUCCAUCCACGAUGGCUCCCGCACUACCGGAAUGAUGUCCCAGCCACGACGGCUCCGGUACCGGCGGCGUUAGCAACGAGCCAACAACAACACCAGUGACAGCAACCUGCGGC